GCUUAACACAUGCAAGUCGAGGGGCAGCAUUUUAGUUUGCUUGCAAACUGAAGAUGGCGACCGGCGCACGGGUGAGUAACACGUAUCCAACCUGCCGAUAACUCCGGAAUAGCCUUUCGAAAGAAAGAUUAAUACCGGAUAGUAUACGAAUAUCGCAUGGUAUUUUUAUUAAAGAAUUUCGGUUAUCGAUGGGGAUGCGUUCCAUUAGUUUGUUGGCGGGGUAACGGCCCACCAAGACUACGAUGGAUAGGGGUUCUGAGAGGAAGGUCCCCCACAUUGGAACUGAGACACGGUCCAAACUCCUACGGGAGGCAGCAGUGAGGAAUAUUGGUCAAUGGGCGAGAGCCUGAACCAGCCAAGUAGCGUGAAGGAUGAAGGCUCUAUGGGUCGUAAACUUCUUUUAUAUGGGAAUAAAGUUUUCCACGUGUGGAAUUUUGUAUGUACCAUAUGAAUAAGGAUCGGCUAACUCCGUGCCAGCAGCCGCGGUAAUACGGAGGAUCCGAGCGUUAUCCGGAUUUAUUGGGUUUAAAGGGAGCGUAGGUGGAUUGUUAAGUCAGUUGUGAAAGUUUGCGGCUCAACCGUAAAAUUGCAGUUGAAACUGGCAGUCUUGAGUACAGUAGAGGUGGGCGGAAUUCGUGGUGUAGCGGUGAAAUGCUUAGAUAUCACGAAGAACUCCGAUUGCGAAGGCAGCUCACUAGACUGUCACUGACGCUGAUGCUCGAAAGUGUGGGUAUCAAACAGGAUUAGAUACCCUGGUAGUCCACACAGUAAACGAUGAAUACUCGCUGUUUGCGAUAUACAGUAAGCGGCCAAGCGAAAGCAUUAAGUAUUCCACCUGGGGAGUACGCCGGCAACGGUGAAACUCAAAGGAAUUGACGGGGGCCCGCACAAGCGGAGGAACAUGUGGUUUAAUUCGAUGAUACGCGAGGAACCUUACCCGGGCUUAAAUUGCAACAGAAUAUAUUGGAAACAGUAUAGCCGUAAGGCUGUUGUGAAGGUGCUGCAUGGUUGUCGUCAGCUCGUGCCGUGAGGUGUCGGCUUAAGUGCCAUAACGAGCGCAACCCUUAUCUUUAGUUACUAACAGGUGAUGCUGAGGACUCUAGAGAGACUGCCGUCGUAAGAUGUGAGGAAGGUGGGGAUGACGUCAAAUCAGCACGGUCCUUACGUCCGGGGCUACACACGUGUUACAAUGGGGGGUACAGAAGGCGGCUACCUGGUGACAGGAUGCUAAUCCCAAAAACCUCUCUCAGUUCGGAUCGAAGUCUGCAACCCGACUUCGUGAAGCUGGAUUCGCUAGUAAUCGCGCAUCAGCCAUGGCGCGGUGAAUACGUUCCCGGGCCUUGUACACACCGCCCGUCAAGCCAUGAAAGCCGGGGGUACCUGAAGUACGUAACCGCAAGGAGCGUCCUAGGGUAAAACUGGUAAUUGGGGCUAAGUC
rnacentral:rRNA from 1 species